ensembl:misc_RNA Metazoa_SRP Metazoan signal recognition particle RNA
GCUGGGCAUGGUGGCUGGUGCCUGUAAUCCCAGCUACUCAGGAGGCUGAGGCAGGAGAAUCGCUUGAACCCAGGAAGUGGAGGUUGCAGUGAGCCGAGAUCAUGCCACUGCACUCCAGCCUGGGUGACAGAGCAAGACCCUGUCUCAA